rnacentral:rRNA from 1 species
AUUGAACGCUGGCGGCAGGCCUAACACAUGCAAGUCGAGCGGAUGAAGAGAGCUUGCUCUCUGAUUUAGCGGCGGACGGGUGAGUAAUGCCUAGGAAUCUGCCUGGUAGUGGGGGAUAACGUUCCGAAAGGAACGCUAAUACCGCAUACGUCCUACGGGAGAAAGCAGGGGACCUUCGGGCCUUGCGCUAUCAGAUGAGCCUAGGUCGGAUUAGCUAGUUGGUGAGGUAAUGGCUCACCAAGGCUACGAUCCGUAACUGGUCUGAGAGGAUGAUCAGUCACCCUGGAACGGAGACACGGUCCAGACUCCUACGGGAGGCAGCAGUGGGGAAUAUUGGACAAUGGGCGAAAGCCUGAUCCAGCCAUGCCGCGUGUGUGAAGAAGGUCUUCGGAUUGUAAAGCACUUUAAGUUGGGAGGAGGGGCAGUAAGUUAAUACCUUGCUGUUUUGACGUUACCGACAGAAUAAGCACCGGCUAACUUCGUGCCAGCAGCCGCCGUAAUAC